CACCCACCCCAAUAACCACUAAUACCCAUCCAACUACCAAAAAAAAAAAAAGAAAAAAAAAAAAAGAAAAAAAAAAUCAUCACCACCUUCGCGAUUUGCUCCUACUGUAGCUGCGAUCUGCUUCACUAUUGUCCCUAUGGCCGCCGGACCACCACCACCACCACCACCACCAUCACCAACAAAACUAGCCCUAAAACCUCAACACCAUGGAAACAUGUAAACCACCAACACCUAUCCAACAACUAAGUAAAAUAUCAUCACCACCACGAUCUACAUCAUUUCAGUCACGAUCUGGACAGCUAAAGGUAUGAUCUGUAGCUCAACUUCUCUGUGCAAUGGUUGUAGCUACACAACACUGCUUUACAGCGACUUUCUGCAAAAAAGGUCGCUGUACAACCGAGCAUUCAAUGUUGACAAGGUAGCUUCCUUCACAGUAAAGGAAUGGAUUUACCAGCGGUGGCGUCUUGAGCAUAAUUGUGAGCAUCUUCGCAGUGGUCACAACAGUGGUGGCGGCGUUUUCACAGCAUCUUCGUAAGAGAAGAGAUAAGUGAGGGAUAGAGAGAGAAAGGAGUAAAGGAAAUUAAUUAGGGUUUGUGAUGAAAUUUGUGUUAUUAUAUUCAAUAUUUAAAUAUGAAAUAUCUGAUUUUGUGAAUAAUGAAACCUUCACCCUAAUUUAGAAUAUUGAUUUUUAAAAGUAGGGUCGAGUCAGCCAAUAUGGG
rnacentral:lncRNA from 1 species